CCUCCUGCCUAAUCCUCUCUACACCAGUGACAAAUAUGCUGAAUAAUAUCCUGGGACAUGGUGAUUAUCCUUGUGGCUGGAAGGUUCACAACAAGUUCUUUACAUCUGCUGGGUGUCGGGGUGAGAUGUCCUUCAAGCUGAAACAAGCAGAGACAAGGGAGGAGAAAUAAACCUCGCAGCUCAAAUUUCAGUGCUGGUUCAAGUUGCUGAAGCCACAACUACCUUUUAAUGCGCAAUUGUUUUAGUAACAAUUUUCCAUAUCUUUAGGCUUGGUCAAGUUGUAGAAGUAAGAGUAGAACAACUUAUCCUCUCAUUUUAACUAGUAACACCAACCCCAAUGGUGCAACAAAUAAGGUGAAAUGAAUCAAUAUUGAACAGAACACAGCAUGGCUGUAUUUCCUGCAUUUUUCAUCAGAUGAUAAAAUGUUUUACCUCCGAAAGAAUUUUGAAAUCAGUGGAAUGCCUGAUGGAAGCAGAGUAUGACAGCUAACGCGAUGGAGAAAAUUCUGCCCUUUGAUUGACAACAAACAUAAGGCUGUUUGGGCAACCAUGGCAUCCGUGACAGAGAAGGAGAAGGAGAAAUGUUCAUCCAUGUAUACAGCUUGGUGGGGGGCCCAGGAGCUUUUCUCUGUGCACCAUGAACCUGUAUAAGCUGCCCAUACCUUGCCAGCCCCGUCAUAUCAGUGACUCUCCACAUGCUAUGUUGAUUGAGCACCAUGGAUUAAGGAGGGGGAGGAAAACAGACAGCUUCUCUCUACUACCACACCUUCACCAAGUUAUCCAAUGUUUGCUUCAUGAAUAAUUUUUGCAUCUUCUAAAAUAAAUAUGGAAUACAUUUUG